rnacentral:rRNA from 1 species
GAGACCGAUAGCGCACAAGUAGAGUGAUCGAAAGAUGAAAAGUACUUUGGAAAGAGAGUCAAAAAGCACGUGAAAUUGUUGAAAGGGAAGCGCUUGCAGCCAGACUUGCCCGCAGUUGCUCACCUAGGCUUUCGCCUGGGGCACUCUUCUGCGGGCAGGCCAGCAUCAGUUUGGGCGGUUGGAUAAAGGCCUCUGUCACGUAUCUCCCUUCGGGGUGACCUUAUAGGGGAGGCGCAAUGCAACCAGCCCGGACUGAGGUCCGCGCAUCUGCUAGGAUGCUGGCGUAAUGGCUGUAAGCGGCCCGUCUUGAAACACGGACCAAGGAGUCUAACAUCUAUGCGAGUGUUUGGGUGUCAAGCCCGAGCGCGCAAUGAAAGUGAACGGAGGUGGGAACCCUUUGGGUGCACCAUCGACCGAUCCUGAUGUCUUCGGAUGGAUUUGAGUAAGAGCAUAGCUGUUGGGACCCGAAAGAUGGUGAACUAUGCUUGAAUAGGGUGAAGCCAGAGGAAACUCUGGUGGAGGCUCGCAGCGGUUCUGACGUGCAAAUCGAUCGUCAAAUUUGGGCAUAGGGGCGAAAGACUAAUCGAACCAUCUAUAGCUGG